rnacentral:rRNA from 1 species
GACGAACGCUGGCGGCGUGCUUAACACAUGCAAGUCGAACGGAAAGGCCCUGCUUGCAGGGUACUCGAGUGGCGAACGGGUGAGUAACACGUGGGUGAUCUGCCCUGCACUUCGGGAUAAGCCUGGGAAACUGGGUCUAAUACCGGAUAGGAGCCAUUUUUAGUGUGAUGGUUGGAAAGUUUUUUCGGUGUAGGAUGAGCUCGCGGCCUAUCAGCUUGUUGGUGGGGUAAUGGCCUACCAAGGCGGCGACGGGUAGCCGGCCUGAGAGGGUGGACGGCCACAUUGGGACUGAGAUACGGCCCAGACUCCUACGGGAGGCAGCAGUGGGGAAGAUUGAACAAGGGGCGCAAGCCUGAUGCAGCGACGCCGCGUGGGGGAUGACGGCCUUCGGGUUGGAAACUCCUUUCGCUAGGGACGAAGCUUUUUGUGACGGUACCUAGAUAAGAAGCACCGGCUAACUACGUG